rnacentral:rRNA from 1 species
GGGUUGUGAGGUUAAGCGACUAAGCGUACACGGUGGAUGCCCUGGCAGUCAGAGGCGAUGAAGGACGUGCUAAUCUGCGAUAAGCGUCGGUAAGGUGAUAUGAACCGUUAUAACCGGCGAUUUCCGAAUGGGGAAACCCAGUGUGUUUCGACACACUAUCAUUAACUGAAUCCAUAGGUUAAUGAGGCGAACCGGGGGAACUGAAACAUCUAAGUACCCCGAGGAAAAGAAAUCAACCGAGAUUCCCCCAGUAGCGGCGAGCGAACGGGGAGCAGCCCAGAGCCUGAAUCAGUAUGUGUGUUAGUGGAAGCGUCUGGAAAGGCGCGCGAUACAGGGUGACAGCCCCGUACACAAAAAUGCACAUGCUGUGAGCUCGAUGAGUAGGGCGGGACACGUGGUAUCCUGUCUGAAUAUGGGGGGACCAUCCUCCAAGGCUAAAUACUCCUGACUGACCGAUAGUGAACCAGUACCGUGAGGGAAAGGCGAAAAGAACCCCGGCGAGGGGAGUGAAAAAGAACCUGAAACCGUGUACGUACAAGCAGUGGGAGCACAGAGCAAUCUGUGUGACUGCGUACCUUUUGU